CGGUAAUUCCAGCUCCAAUAGCGUAUACUAAAGUUGUUGCAGUUAAAAAGCUCGUAGUUGGAUUUCUGCGGGGACGGAGCGGCCGGACGCAACUCGCGUCUCGAGCUAGCGCUUUCCCCGCAUCCUGCCGCAAACCGUGCUACCAUUAGUUUGGUGGCGCUGGGGAUCGGCUCGAUUACUUUGAGAAAAAUAGAGUGUUCAAAGCAGGCCACACGCCUUGAAUAAGUUAGCAUGGAAUAAUGACUAAGGACUUCGGUUCUAUUUUGUUGGUGUUCGGGACUGAAGUAAUGAUUGAUAGGGACAGUUGGGGCGGUCUGUAUUCCAAAGCGAGAGGUGAAAUUCUUAGACCUUCGGAAGACAAACAGCUGCGAAAGCGUUCCGCAAGGAUGUUCCCUUUGAUCAAGAACGAAAGUUGGGGGAUCGAAGACGAUCAGAUACCGUCGUAGUCUCAACUAUAAACUAUACCAGCUAGGGAUCGGUCAACGUUUAAUUAUUCGACUUGAUCGGCACCUUAUGAGAAAUCAAAGCAUCUGGGUUCCGGGGGGAGUAUGGUCGCAAGGCUGAAACUUAAAGGAAUUGACGGAAGGGCACCACCAGCCGUGGAGCCUGUGGCUUAAUUUGACUCAACACGGGAAAACUUACCAGGUCCAGACAUAGUAAGGAUUGACAGAUUGAUAGCUCUUUCUUGAUUCUGUGGGUGGCGGGGCAUGGCCGUUCUUAGUUGGUGGAGUGAUUUGUCUGGUUAAUUCCGUUAACGAACGACACCCCAGCAUAUUAAAUAGCGCGGCUGAGCUCUGCUCGAUGCGAUCAUAUUAGAGGGGAUACGAUACACGACAGCACAUGGAAGUUCGGGGCCAUAUCAGGUAUGUGAUGACAUUAUAUGUUCUGGACCCCACACGGGCUGCACCGGCCCCCGCACAGAUCAUAUCAGCCGAGACGAGAGGGUCUAGUCUAAUCUUCUGAACCGCGCGCCGGGCUUGGGACUGACCUAUGCAAGUUCAGGUCACGCAAGCGAGGAAUGCCUAGUAAGACUCGACUCAUCAG
rnacentral:rRNA from 1 species